rnacentral:rRNA from 1 species
GUAGGUGGUUCGAUAAGCGAAUAGUGAAAUCUGGUGGCUCAACCAUUCAGACUAUUAUUCGAACUGUUGAACUCGAGAGCAGAAGAGGUAGCNUGGAAUUUCUAGUGUAGGAGUGAAAUCCGUAGAUAUUAGAAGGAACACCGAUGGCGUAGGCAGGCUACUGGGCNUGUUUCUGACACNUGAGGCACNGAAAGCCGUGGGGAGCCGAACCGGAUUAGAUACCCGGGUAGUCCACGCCGUAAACGAUGGAUACUAGCUGUUUGGGGUAUCGACCCCCUGAGUAGCGAAGCUAACGCGUUAAGUAUCCCGCCUGUGGAGUACGGCCGCAAGGCUAAAACAUAAAGGAAUUGACGGGGACCCGCACAAGCGGUGGAUUAUGUUCUUUAAUUCGAUGAUAACCGAAGAACCUUACCAGGGCUUGACAUCCAGGGAAGGUCUAUGAAAGUAGACUGUGCCUUUUGGAACCCUGUGACAGGUGAUGCAUGGCCGUCGUCAGCUCGUGUCGUGAGAUGUUAGGUUAAGUCCUUCAACGAGCGCAACCCUUGUGAAUAGUUGUAUUUUUCUAUUCAGACUGCCCCCGGUAACGGGGAGGAAGGAGGGGGAUGACGUCAGGUCAGUAUUUCCCUUACGUCCUGGGCUAGAAACGUGAUACAAUGNCUAGUACAA